CCUACGGGCGGCAGCAGUGAGGAAUAUUGGUCAAUGGGCGGGAGCCUGAACCAGCCAAGUAGCGUGAAGGAUGAAUGCGCUAAGGAUUGUAAACUUCUUUUGUAAAGGAAUAAAGUGAGGCACGUGUGCCUGUUUGUAUGUACUUUAUGAAUAAGGAUCGGCUAACUCCGUGCCAGCAGCCGCGGUAAUACGGAGGAUCCGAGCGUUAUCCGGAUUUAUUGGGUUUAAAGGGAGCGUAGGUGGGUUGUUAAGUCAGUUGUGAAAGUUUGCGGCUCAACCGUCAAAGUGCAAUUGAUACUGGCAGUCUUGAGUACAGGUGAGGUAGGCGGAAUGCGUGGUGUAGCGGUGAAAUGCUUAGAUAUCACGAAGAACUCCGAUUGCGAAGGCAGCCUACUAGACUGGCACUGACAUUGAGGCUCGAAAGUGUGGGUAUCAAACAGGAUUAGAUACCCGAGUAGUC
rnacentral:rRNA from 1 species